UAGAGUUUGAUCCUGGCUCAGGACGAACGCGGGCGGCGUGCUUAAUACAUGCAAGUCGAGCGGACCGACGGGAGCUUGCUCCCUUAGGUAAGCGGCGGAGGGGUGAGUAACACGUGGGUAACCUGCCUGUAAGACUGGGAUAACUCCGGGAAACCGGGGCUAAUACCGGAUGCUUGAUUGAACCGCAUGGUUCAAUCAUAAAAGGUGGCUUUCAGCUACCACUUACAGAUGGACCCGCGGCGCAUUAGCUAGUUGGUGAGGUAACGGCUCACCAAGGCGACGAUGCGUAGCCGACCUGAGAGGGUGAUCGGCCACACUGGGACUGAGACACGGCCCAGACUCCUACGGGAGGCAGCAGUAGGGAAUCUUCCGCAAUGGACGAAAGUCUGACGGAGCAACGCCGCGUGAGUGAUGAAGGUUUUCGGAUCGUAAAACUCUGUUGUUAGGGAAGAACAAGUACCGUUCGAAUAGGGCGUACCUGACG
rnacentral:rRNA from 1 species